UAGUCAUAUGCUUGUCUCAAAGAUUAAGCCAUGCAUGUCUAAGUAUAAGCAAUCUAUACGGUGAAACUGCGAAUGGCUCAUUAAAUCAGUUAUCGUUUAUUUGAUAGUACCUUACUACUUGGAUAACCGUGGUAAUUCUAGAGCUAAUACAUGCUAAAAACCCCGACUUCGGAAGGGGUGUAUUUAUUAGAUAAAAAACCAAUGCCCUUCGGGGCUCCUUGGUGAUUCAUAAUAACUUAACAAAUCGCAUGGCCUUGUGCCGGCGAUGGUUCAUUCAAAUUUCUGCCCUAUCAACUUUCGAUUGUAAGGUAGUGGCUUACAAUGGUUUCAACGGGUAACGGGGAAUUAGGGUUCUAUUCCGGAGAGGGAGCCUGAGAAACGGCUACCACAUCCAAGGAAGGCAGCAGGCGCGCAAAUUACCCAAUCCCGACACGGGGAGGUAGUGACAAUAAAUACUGAUACAGGGCUCUUUUGGGUCUUGUAAUUGGAAUGAGUACAAUUUAAAUCCCUUAACGAGGAACAAUU
rnacentral:rRNA from 1 species